rnacentral:rRNA from 1 species
AGACAUAUGGGGCAAGCGUUACUCGGAAUUACUAGGCGUAAAGCGCGUGUAGGCGGAUAUUCAAGUCUGCUGUGAAAUCUCCUGGCUUAACUGGGAGGGGUCGGUGGAAACUGGAUGUCUAGAGUGAGGUAGGGGGAACCGGAAUUCCUGGUGUAGCGGUGAAAUGCGUAGAUAUCAGGAGGAACAUCGGUGGCGAAAGCGGGUUCCUGGGCCUUUUCUGACGCUGAGACGCGAAAGCUGGGGCAGCAAACAGGAUUAGAAACCCCGGUAGUCC